rnacentral:rRNA from 1 species
UACGAAGGGGGCUAGCGUUGCUCGGAAUUACUGGGCGUAAAGCGUGCGCAGGCGGUUGUGCAAGACAGAUGUGAAAUCCCCGGGCUCAACCUGGGAACUGCAUUUGUGACUGCAUCGCUGGAGUGCGGCAGAGGGGGAUGGAAUUCCGCGUGUAGCAGUGAAAUGCGUAGAUAUGCGGAGGAACACCGAUGGCGAAGGCAAUCCCCUGGGCCUGCACUGACGCUCAUGCACGAAAGCGUGGGGAGCAAACAGG